CCUACGGGAGGCAGCAGUGAGGAAUAUUGGUCAAUGGACGAGAGUCUGAACCAGCCAAGUAGCGUGAAGGAUGACUGCCCUAUGGGUUGUAAACUUCUUUUAUAUGGGAAUAAAAUGUUCCACGUGUGGGAUUUUGUAUGUACCAUAUGAAUAAGGAUCGGCUAACUCCGUGCCAGCAGCCGCGGUAAUACGGAGGAUCCGAGCGUUAUCCGGAUUUAUUGGGUUUAAAGGGUGCGUAGGUGGAUUGUUAAGUCAGUUGUGAAAGUUUGGGGGUCAACCGUAAAAUUGCAGUUGAAACUGGCAGUCUAGAGUACAGUAGAGGUGGGCGGAAUUCGUGGUGUAGCGGUGAAAUGCUUAGAUAUCACGAAGAACUCCGAUUGCGAAGGCAGCUCACUGGACUGCAACUGACACUGAGGCUCGAAAGUGUGGGUAUCAAACAGGAUUAGAUACCCGGGUAGUC
rnacentral:rRNA from 1 species